AAUCAACGCUGGCGGCGUGCCUCAGACAUGCAAGUCGAACGAUUAAACUUUCCUUCGGGAAAGAUAUAAAGUGGCGCACGGGUGAGUAACACGUAAGUAAUCUACCUUCGAGUGGGGAAUAACGUUCGGAAACGAACGCUAAUACCGCAUAAUGCAGCGGCACCUAAUGGUGACAGUUGUUAAAGGAGCAAUUCGCUUGAAGAGGAGCUUGCGGCAGAUUAGCUAGUUGGAAGGUAACGGCUUACCAAGGCUACGAUCUGUAACCGGUCUAAGAGGAC
rnacentral:rRNA from 1 species